rnacentral:misc_RNA from 1 species
GUUGGUUUUGACACAGAAGGAAAGAUGUAGGGAGUUUUACUUCAAGGAAAGUGCAGAAGUAUAAUGUAACCAAUAUAUAUGCUUCAUAUGAAUUGUUGAUUAGAGGAAGAGGAGUUACUAUACCUUCUCCCUCUCUACUUUUUGCAGAUGGCUUACUUGGGUACUUGCAGUUUCACCUCUUCAUUUGAAAAUGGGAAAUGGAGAAACAUGUAGAGUUGAUACGUGUUGGAACUGAAUAAUUGUCAUAUCAAUUUACAUGCAACAUUCAUUGGAUAAUAUAUGAAGAUCACUUUCUUUGUAAGGAGUGCUAGCAGAAAUUGAU